rnacentral:lncRNA from 1 species
UCUGGAGUGACCGAGCUGUGCGUCCCACAGAGCUGUGCCAGCACCUGGCAUUGCUGUGCAACAAGCGUCCGUCACCAGGAAUGACUCGGGCCGCAGAGGUGCUGUCAGACAAAGCUGGACACCAGCAUCAAGGGGCUGCCCUCCACCUCGACACCCUCCUGCCACCUUCUGGGCCACUGGCAGCUGAGGCCAGGUGAGAGCUGAGGGUGCGGCGGGAGGCUGGCAGAGCCCAAGCCACCAGGGCUUAUGCCAGCGUCAUGGCAGGGCUCUGCGGCUCUCCUACCUGCGUGCUGGUGGCCAUGACGAGGCCACCCUGGCACAGCUGUUAGACCUCCAGCUGGAGGCCAUGGCACUGGAGAAAAAGGCUGCACAGAAGAUGAGUAAGCACCAGCCCCAGCACAGAGCCCAGGGACAGGAUACCAUUGCUGUUGAGGCAGCACGGGGCCUCGAUGCGGCACUGAUGGCUGUGGAGCUGGAGAACCAGCGGCUCGAGGAUGAGCUCCUGGCACUGAAGGUCCGGAGGGAGAUGCGAGCGGAUGUCGGAUCGCUGGCAGCCCGACAGAAUGCAGAGCUGGCUCAGCUGCAGGCAAAGGUGGAGAUGCUGCUGCGACGCCAGGCAGAGGGGAUGGGGCCGCGCCUGCCCCCUGCCGUCCUCCCACCGCCCGUGGCCCCUCCGCUCCCCGCAGCCUUAGCUCUGGCGGAGCCACUGAGGACAGGCAGCCCCACAGCCUCCAGCCGCCCACUUGCGCCCUCCAGCCUCCCCAGCAUCUUCUUUGGAGCCCUGGAUGACCCCCCUCAUACUCAAGAGGCACCAGCUCAGCACAAAAGCCCGGAGAGGUGAGGCCAGGAUGAGCUGUGCCCUGUCUCAGUGCUCAGGCAACAGAGAGCUGCCCAUCCUGACUUCUGAUAAGGGACUUUUUUUUGUGACGAUGUACUUCUGUGCUCAAUCACAUUCUUUUUUCCCCUUCCCCUACUGCUCAUUCCAUUAGACACUUCUCAAGGUACAUUUAGGAAAAGCUUAACAGGAGGCAUUCAAGGCUCAAACCGGGAGCAGCAAUGAUUUCCUCUGUAUCCUGAGGCUCAUGUGGUGGGUGUGUGAAAUAAAUGGGUUCUACCUACA